rnacentral:rRNA from 1 species
GGCUCAGGAUGAACGCGGGCGGUAUGCUUAACACAUGCAAGUCGAACGAUGUUUUAGGACAUAGUGGCGGACGGGUGAGUAACGCGUAAGAAUCUACCUUCAGGUUUGGGACAACCAUUGGAAACGGUGGCUAAUACCGAAUGUGCCGAGAGGUGAAAGGCUUGCUGCCUGAAGAAGAGCUUGCGUCUGAUUAGCUAGUUGGUGGGGUAAGAGCCUACCAAGGCGACGAUCAGUAGCUGGUCUGAGAGGAUGAUCAGCCACACUGGGACUGAGACACGGCCCAGACUCCUACGGGAGGCAGCAGUGGGGAAUUUUCCGCAAUGGGCGAAAGCCUGACGGAGCAAUACCGCGUGAGGGAGGAAGGCUCUUGGGUUGUAAACCUCUUUUCUCAGGGAAGAAAAAAUGACGGUACCUGAGGAAUAAGCAUCGGCUAACUCCGUGCCAGCAGCCGCGGUAAUACGGAGGAUGCAAGCGUUAUCCGGAAUGAUUGGGCGUAAAGGGUCCGCAGGUGGUAGUGUAAGUCUGCUGUUAAAGAGUCACGCUCAACGUGAUAAAAGCAGUGGAAACUACACAACUAGAGUACGGUAGGGGCAGAAGGAAUUCCUGGUGUAGCGGUGAAAUGCGUAGAUAUCAGGAAGAACACCGGUGGCGAAAGCGUUCUGCUAGACCUGUACUGACACUGAGGGACGAAAGCUAGGGGAGCGAAUGGGAUUAGAUACCCCAGUAGUCCUAGCCGUAAACGAUGGAUACUAGGUGUGGCUUGUAUCGACCCGAGCCGUACCGUAGCUAACGCGUUAAGUAUCCCGCCUGGGGAGUACGCACGCAAGUGUGAAACUCAAAG